rnacentral:rRNA from 1 species
UGGGGAAUAUUGCACAAUGGGCGAAAGCCUGAUGCAGCAACGCCGCGUGAGUGAUGAAGGCCUUCGGGUUGUAAAGCUCUGUCUUUUGGGACGAUAAUGACGGUACCAAAGGAGGAAGCCACGGCUAACUACGUGCCAGCAGCCGCGGUAAUACGUAGGUGGCAAGCGUUGUCCGGAUUUACUGGGCGUAAAGGAUGCGUAGGCGGAUUUUUAAGUGAGAUGUGAAAACCCUAAGCUUAACUUGGGGACUGCAUUUCAUACUGGAAAUCUAGAGUGCGGGAGAGGAGAAUGGAAUUCCUAGUGUAGCGGUGAGAUGCGUAGAGAUUAGGAAGAACACCAGUGGCGGAGGCGAUUCUCUGGACCGUAACUGACGCUGAGGCAUGAAAGCGUGGGUAGCAAACAGGAUUAGAUACCCUGGUAGUCCACGCCGUAAACGAUGAGUACUAGGUGUAGGAGGUAUCGACCCCUUCUGUGCCGCAGUUAACACAAUAAGUACUCCGCCUGGGAAGUACGAUCGCAAGAUUAAAACUCAAAGGAAUUGACGGGGUCAUAGCUGUUUCC